rnacentral:rRNA from 1 species
CAGCCGUAAACAAUGUGCGUUAGGUGUGUCGGUAACCACGCGUUACUGAUGCGCCGAAGAGAAAUCGUGAAACGCACCACCUGGGAAGUACGGUCGCAAGGCUGAAACUUAAAGGAAUUGGCGGGGGAGCACCACAACAGGUGGAGCCUGCGGUUUAAUUGGAUUCAACGCCGGACAUCUCACCGGAUAAGACAGCUGAAUGAUUGCCGGGCUGAAGACCCUGCAUGACUAGCUGAGAGGUGGUGCAUGGGCGUCAGUGACU